CUUAUAGGCAAUGGACAUUGAUCUCUCACGGUUCUGGAGGUGAGAAUGUACAAGAUCAACAUGACAGCAAACUCAGUGUUUGGGAGCUGGUCCCAGAGCAGAAACAACUGGUGAUGAGAUUUGGACUUCAGACAAGCCUAGAUUUGAACCUCACUUCUGCUACAUAUCAGCCAUCUGGCCAUCUGACUUCAUCUCUCUGAGCCCGUUCCCUCAUCUGAAAAACAAACAUUGAUGCCUAAGGGUGGUUAUGAGAAUUGAAUAAAAUAAAGUUUGUAAAGAACUUUGCAAAUA